GCAUGCGUAGCCAAGUGGUUAAGGCCGCCGCCUGCAGAGCGGCUAUCGCAGGUUCGAAUCCUGCCGCAUGCU
rnacentral:tRNA from 1 species